rnacentral:rRNA from 1 species
GGGGAGCCUUCAUGAACAGUCGAGGGGCAGCGGGUAGAUGAGCUUGCUCAUUUAUGCCGGCGACCGGCGCACGGGUGAGUAACACGUAUGCAACCUGCCCGCCUCAGGGGGAUAAUCGUCGGAAACGGCGUCUAAUACCCCGUAUGAAGCUGGACGGCAACGUCUGGUUUUGAAAGAAUAUCGGAGACGGAUGGGCAUGCGGCGCAUUAGCUAGUUGGCGGGGUAACGGCCCACCAAGGCGACGAUGCGUAGGGGUUCUGAGAGGAAGGUCCCCCACACUGGUACUGAGACACGGACCAGACUCCUACGGGAGGCAGCAGUGAGGAAUAUUGGUCAAUGGGCGAGAGCCUGAACCAGCCAAGUCGCGUGAGGGAGUACUGCCCUAUGGGUUGUAAACCUCUUUUGUCGGGGAGCAAAAGCCGGACGUGUCCGUCUGUGAGAGUACCCGAAGAAAAAGCAUCGGCUAACUCCGUGCCAGCAGCCGCGGUAAUACGGAGGAUGCGAGCGUUAUCCGGAUUUAUUGGGUUUAAAGGGUGCGCAGGCGGAUUUUUAAGUCAGCGGUCAAAUCGUGGGGCUCAACCCCAUCCAGCCGUUGAAACUGGGGAUCUAGAGUGUGCGAGAGGUAUGCGGAAUGCGUGGUGUAGCGGUGAAAUGCAUAGAUAUCACGCAGAACCCCGAUUGCGAAGGCAGCAUACCGGUGCACAACUGACGCUCAGGCACGAAAGCGUGGGUAUCGAACAAGAUUAGAUA